rnacentral:rRNA from 1 species
GAGUUUGAUCCUGGCUCAGUUUGAACGCUGGCGGCAUGGCUAAAACAUGCAAGUCGAACGAGAAAGAGGAGCAAUCCUCGAGUAAAGUGGCGAAAGGGUGAGUAAUACGUUCCUACGUGCCUUGAGGUCAGGGAUAGCCAAGGGAAACUUUGGGUAAUACCUGAUGUGGUCGAGAGAUCAAAGGCUUGCCGCCUUAAGAGCGGGGAACGUCCUAUCAGCUAGUUGGUGAGGUAACGGCUCACCAAGGCAAUGACGGGUAGCGGGUGUGAGAGCAUGGCCCGCCACAUCGAAACUGAGACACUGUUCGGACUCCUACGGGAGGCUGCAGUAACGAAUCUUCCGCAAUGCGCGAAAGCAUGACGGAGCAAUGCCGCGUGCAGGAUGAAGCCCUUCGGGGUGUAAACUGCUGUCAGGGGUUAGCAACACAAUGAGCAGCCCCAAAGGAAGAGACGACUAACUCUGUGCCAGCAGUCGCGGUAAUACAGAGGUCUCGAGCGUUAGACGGAUUCAUUGGGCUUAAAGCGUACGUAGGCGGGCGUGCAGGCGUCGUGUGAAAGCCCUCGGCUCAACCGAGGAAUUGCACGGCGAACCGCACGUCUUGAGACAUGUA